rnacentral:tmRNA from 1 species
GGGGUUGUACUGGUUUCGACGGGGGUCUAGAAGGUUGGGUAGCCAUCCGCGGACCGUGACCGCGUAUCAAAACGGAACUUAAAUAUAAACGCAGACAAUAACGAGUACGCGUUAGCGGCUUAAUCCGCUUGCCGGCCUGAGGUUGCUCACAGCCUUAGUUCCCGGUAUUAUGAACUGUGAGGCACUUUUUCUCCAAAGCUUUGCGGAGUAAAAAGAAUUUAUGAAGCUACUGAAGGAAGAAGCCGGCUGCCGGGCGUCUUCCAGAGGGAAUGUCAGUACAGCAGCUGUGAUGGGAGAAACCCAGGUGGAAGGGCUUUCGGACAGGGGUUCGAUUCCCCUCAGCUCCAUAU